UACGGAGGAGGCAAGCGUUAUCCGGAAUGAUUGGGCGUAAAGCGUCCGCAGGUGGCAGUUCAAGUCUGCUGUCAAAGACCGGGGCUUAACUUCGGAAAGGCAGUGGAAACUGAACAGCUAGAGUAUGGUAGGGGCAGAGGGAAUUCCUGGUGUAGCGGUGAAAUGCGUAGAGAUCAGGAAGAACAUCGGUGGCGAAGGCGCUCUGCUGGACCAUAACUGACACUCAGGGACGAAAGCUAGGGGAGCGAACAGG
rnacentral:rRNA from 1 species